rnacentral:rRNA from 1 species
CCCAGCAGCCAUACUGCUUUGGUUUGUAAUGACAUGUGAUCACAGGCUACAGGACAGCUGGGACUGUACUUGGAUGGGAGACCUCCAGGAAAAGCCCUGGUGCUGUAGGAA